rnacentral:rRNA from 1 species
AGUGAACGCUGGCGGUAGGCCUAACACAUGCAAGUCGAACGGCAGCACAGUAAGAGCUUGCUCUUACGGUUGGCGAGUGGCGGACGGGUGAGGAAUACAUCGGAAUCUACUUUUUCGUGGGGGAUAACGUAGGGAAACUUACGCUAAUACCGCAUACGACCUACGGGUGAAAUCAAGGGAUCUUCGCACCUUGCGCGAUUGUAUUAGCCGAUGUCGGAUUAGCUAGUUGGCUGGGUAAAGGCCCACCAAGGCAACGAUCCGUAGCUGAUCUGAGAGGAUGAUCAGCCACACUGGAACUGAGACACGGUCCAGACUCCUACGGGAGGCAGCAGUGGGGAAUCUUGGACAAUGGGCGCAAGCCUGAUCGAGCAAUGCCGCGUGAGUGAAGAAGGUCUUCGGAUUGUAAAGCUCUUUUGUUGGGAAAGAAAAACAGUAGAUUAAUACCCCGCUGUUCUGACGGUACCCAAAGAGUAAGCACCGGCUAACUUCGUG